UACGGGGGGGAGCAAGCGUUGUUCGGAUUUACUGGGCGUAAAGCGUGCGCAGGCGGUUGUGCAAGACCGAUGUGAAAUCCCCGGGCUUAACCUGGGGAAUGGCAUUGGUGACUGCACGGCUAGAGUGUGUCAGAGGGGGGUAGAAUUCCACGUGUAGCAGUGAAAUGCGUAGAGAUGUGGAGGAAUACCGAUGGCGAAGGCAGCCCCCUGGGAUAACACUGACGCUCAUGCACGAAAGCGUGGGGAGCAAACAGG
rnacentral:rRNA from 1 species